GGUUAAGUUAGAAAGGGCGCACGGUGGAUGCCUUGACACUAGGAGUCGAUGAAGGACGGGACUAACGCCGAUAUGCUUCGGGGAGCUGUAAGUAAGCUUUGAUCCGAAGAUUUCCGAAUGGGGAAACCCACCAUACGUAAUGGUAUGGUAUCCUUAUCUGAAUACAUAGGGUAAGGAAGACAGACCCAGGGAACUGAAACAUCUAAGUACCUGGAGGAAGAGAAAGCAAAUGCGAUUUCCUGAGUAGCGGCGAGCGAAACGGAACAUAGCCCAAACCAAGAGGCUUGCCUCUUGGGGUUGUAGGACAUUCUAUACGGAGUUACAAAGGAACGAGGUAGACGAAGCGACCUGGAAAGGUCCGUCGUAGAGGGUAACAACCCCGUAGUCGAAACUUCGUUCUCUCUUGAAUGUAUCCUGAGUACGGCGGAACACGUGAAAUUCCGUCGGAAUCUGGGAGGACCAUCUCCCAAGGCUAAAUACUCCCUAGUGAUCGAUAGUGAACCAGUACCGUGAGGGAAAGGUGAAAAGCACCCCGGAAGGGGAGUGAAAGAGAUCCUGAAACCGUGUGCCUACAAAUAGUCAGAGCCCGUUAACGGGUGAUGG
rnacentral:rRNA from 1 species